ACGCUCGACACCUACGGGAGGCAGCAGUGAGGAAUAUUGGUCAAUGGGGCGCUAGCCUGAACCAGCCAAGUAGCGUGAAGGAUGAAGGCUCUAUGGGUCGUAAACUUCUUUUAUAUAAGAAUAAAGUGCAGUAUGUAUACUGUUUUGUAUGUAUUAUAUGAAUAAGGAUCGGCUAACUCCGUGCAAGCAGCCGCGGUAAUCUGAGCGGGCUGGCAAGGC
rnacentral:rRNA from 1 species